rnacentral:snRNA from 1 species
ACUGUUCUUUAGACGACUUGAA